rnacentral:rRNA from 1 species
UACGAGGGGUGCGAGCGUUGCUCGGAAUUAUUGGGCGUAAAGGGUAGGUAGGUGGUUUCGUUUGUCUGGGGUGAAAGCCUUGAGCUUAACUCAAGAAGUGCCCCGGAAACGGCGAAACUCGAGUACUGGAGAGGGUCGUGGAAUUCCCGGUGUAGCGGUGAAAUGCGUAGAGAUCGGGAGGAACACCAGAGGCGAAGGCGACUACCUGGCCUGUUCUUGACGCUGAGGCGCGAAAGCUAGGGGAGCAAACGGG